GUCAUUAAACUAAAUAUGUACGUCUCAGUUAUUUUUUUAAUUAUCACAAGUACUUUUGGUGAAAAUCUCAAGCCUGGAACUUGUCCUAAUGUGACGGUACCUAUAACCGAUAUUCAUAAAAUCGUUGGAGUUUGGUAUGAGUACAGUCGGAGUUGCAAUGUUGGGAAUAGUUUCGACAAAUGUCAACGUCUAGUAAUUGAUGACCCAGUCGAGGGCUCAUCAUCGUCCAUUUUCGAAAGCAAAUCAUUAUUAAGUGACGUUAACACAAAAAUGCUAACCAAUUUUAUUAUGAAAAAUGAUAAGCUCCAUAUAACUUAUUAUCUGCCUACCAUAGGAAAUAUGAUAAGAGAUUUUACUAUUCUUGGUGUAGAUCAUAAUAAUUAUUGUAUUACAUGGCAUUGUAUGGAAAUAGGGUCCAUGUCGAGAAGCUUUAUGUUUUUAGUCGACAUCCAAAUACGUCAUUAAAUUUAGAUGAAUUAACGGCAUGCGCACUUUUAACCUACGGCCUCAAGAUACCGGAAAUGUGCACAUUUCUGAAGAAGCCAAUAUUUUUAUUUUAUUUUAUAUAUAUUUUUUAUCACUACCGGGUUGAAAAGAUAAAAGCGAG